AAGAAAAAAGAUUACAAGUAAACUACUCCUAGAAAGUGCUAAAAAAAUACAGAGAAAAUAAAGGUGGUCUUCUACUCUCGGGAAAAAGACCUAUCUUUUGGGCGUUAUUCGCCUAUUUAUAAUCCGCCCUUGUUAAUCAAUUAUUGUUCCAUUCAUGAUCGACCACUUCCCUUCUUCUUCAGGCUACUUCAAGCCAAUCAAAACCGCAUAUAACCGCUUGCAGUUAUGCUUUGCGGUUACUCAAUUAUUUUGCUAGUACUCCCGAUGC
rnacentral:lncRNA from 1 species